rnacentral:rRNA from 1 species
CCUACGGGCGGCAGCAGUGGGGAAUAUUGCGCAAUGGGCGAAAGCCUGACGCAGCGACGCCGCGUGAGGGAUGAAGGUCUUCGGAUCGUAAACCUCUGUCAGCAGGGAAGAACGGUCACUGUGCUAUUCAGCAGUGAAUUGACGGUACCUGCAAAGGAAGCACCGGCUAACUCCGUGCCAGCAGCCGCGGUAAUACGGAGGGUGCGAGCGUUAAUCGGAAUUACUGGGCGUAAAGCGCACGUAGGCGGUCUGUCAAGUCAGGGGUGAAAUCCCCGGGCUCAACGUGGGAACUGCCUUUGAAACUGGCAAGCUUGAGUGUGGUAGAGGGUAGUAGAAUUCCAGGUGUAGGAGUGAAAUCCGUAGAUAUCUGGAGGAACAUCAGUGGCGAAGGCGACUAUCUGGCACAUAACUGACGCUGAGGUGCGAAAGCGUGGGUAGCAAACAGGAUUAGAUACCCCUGUAGUC